UUAGAGGAGUAAAGUCGUACANGUUUCNGUAGGUGACCUGCGAANGAUCAUUAAUGAAAUGCACCCUCGGGGGGUUGUGCUGGCGCUCCGGCGCAAUGUGCACGCCCCCUCUGGCGUUCAGACCCCUUCACACCUGUGCACGAACCCGUCGGACGGGAGUGGUGCCUUGCGCGCCCUCCGGUCUGGCCCUUCACAUCAGCUUAUUACCGUAUGUCGAAUGCAUCACUGCGCACGCGCAACCGAAAUACAACUUUUAACAACGGAUCUCUUGGUUCUCGCAUCGAUGAAGAACGCAGCGAAAUGCGAUAAGUAAUGUGAAUUGCAGAAUUCAGUGAAUCAUCGAAUCUUUGAACGCACCUUGCGCUCCUUGGUAUUCCGAGGAGCAUGCCCGUUUGAGUGUCUUGAUAUCAUCAAACGCCCCUGCCUUUUCUGGUGGGUCGGCGAUUUGGACUUGGACGUGCUGCUGGGCGCUCUGCGCUCGGCUCGUCUUGAAUGCAUUAGCUGGAUCUCCCUCCGGCCUCGGACCUUAUGGCGUGAUAAGAUCACCCGUCGAGCAGUCCUUGGUCAACGUUGGGUUCCGCUUCCAACCGUCCCCCGCGGACAACACCGAAACCUGGUUUUCGACAUCUGACCUCAAAUCGGGUAGGACUACCCGCUGAACUUAAGCAUAUCAAUAAGCGAGNNNNNNNNNNNNNNNNNNNNNUNCCCCUAGUAACGGCGAGUGAAGCGGGAAGAGCUCAAAUUUAAAAUCUGGYGGCCUUCGGUCGUCCGAGUUGUAGCCUAGAGAAGCGUUUUCCGCGGCGGACCAUGUACAAGUCCCUUGGAACAGGGCGUCAUAGAGGGUGAGAAUCCCGUCCUUGACAUGGACCCCCGUCGCUCUGCGAUGCGCUCUCGAAGAGUCGAGUUGUUUGGGAAUGCAGCUCAAAAUGGGUGGUAAAUUCCAUCUAAAGCUAAAUAUUGGCGAGAGACCGAUAGCGAACAAGUACCGUGAGGGAAAGAUGAAAAGCACUUUGGAAAGAGAGUCAAACAGUACGUGAAAUUGUUAAAAGGGAAACGAUCAAAGUCAGUCGCGUCUGCCGGGACUCAGCCUUGCCUUCGCGCUCGGCGCAUUUCCCGGUCUGACGGGCCAGCGUCGAUUUUGACCGGCGGAAAAGGGUCGGAGGAACGUGGCUCCUCACGGAGUGUUAUAGCCUUCGGCCGCAAACGUCGGUUGGGAUCGAGCCCUCCCGCACGGCACGCCUCUGGCGGUGCCCGCGCUGGCGUAAUGGCUUUGACCGACCCGUCUUGAAACACGGACCAAGGAGUCUAACAUGUCUGCGAGUGUUUGGGUGUCAAACCCGAGCGCGUAAUGAAAGUGAUGGUUGGGAACCCUUCGCGGGGGGCACCGACGCCCGUGGCUGACCUUCUGUGACGCACACGAGGCAGAGCAUGCAUGUUGGGACCCGAAAGAUGGUGAACUAUGCCUGAAUAGGGUGAAGCCAGAGGAAACUCUGGUGGAGGCUCGUAGCGAUUCUGACGUGCAAAUCGAUCGUCAAAUUUGGGUAUAGGGGCGAAAGACUAAUCGAACCAUCUAGUAGCUGGUUCCUGCCGAAGUUUCCCUCAGGAUAGCAGAAACUCAUGUCAGUUUUAUGUGGUAAAGCGAAUGAUUAGAGACCUUGGGGUUGAAACAACCUUAAUCUAUUCUCAAACUUUAAAUAUGUAAGCACAGCACGCUUGCUUAAUUGAAGCGGCUGCAAAUGAGAGUUUCUAGUGGGCCAUUUUUGGUAAGCAGAACUGGCGAUGCGGGAUGAACCGAACGCGAGGUUAAGGUGCCGGAGUUCACGCUCAUCAGACACCACAAAAGGUGUUGGUUCAUCCAGACAGCAGGACGGUGGCCAUGGAAGUCGGAACCCGCUAAGGAGUGUGUAACAACUCACCUGCCGAAUGAACUAGCCCUGAAAAUGGAUGGCGCUCAAGCGUGACACCCAUACCUCGCCGUCGGCGUUUCUUACACGUCGACGAGUAGGCAGGCGUGGGGGGUCGUGAAGAAGCCCAGGAGGCGACUCCGGGUGAAACGGCCGCCUAGUGCNGAUCUGGUG
rnacentral:rRNA from 1 species